rnacentral:lncRNA from 10 species
UUGGGGGAUAUAAGAGACCAUGUGGAGAGGAACCCAGGCCAUCCUUGCUGCCCCAGUAACCCCAGCCAACACACACAACAGUUCCCAUGGUGUUAAUUACCUGUAUGUCACCUGCCCCAUCUGACUUUUUUCAUGAGCAUUUCCUGUUCAUUGGCCUCCCUGGCUGGAAUGCACACGAGGAGAAUACGAAAAUCCCUUCCUCAUUUGCCACCACACACUUGAUGCAAGAAGAAAGGACAGGCACUCCAGCAUGUGCCCCGGGAAUAUCUGGUAAGGGGUGAACAGAAGGAGACUAAGCACAUGGAAUCUCAGGGCUGCAAAAGCACACGGGAGUCUCAGGAUCCAUGCGGUGUACGGCUGACGCCGGCUCUGGCCCAGGACUGGCAGUUGCUGAUGGGUCCCUCUACUGAGGCAGGGGAUCUGCAGACCUCUCAGCUACUGCUCAGACCUCAAGAAGCUUUCCUCAGCCCUUACAAGACACCUGCACAAGGCAAUAGCCUGCUCCCAAUUGUCUGCCUGAAAGACAACACCUCCCAUCUCAUCUGCUGCUGACGCUACAGGAAUAUGAACAGCCGAUUUCAUUGUUCUCACAAAUCACGACACUCUAAAUUCAAUUUCCUUAAUAGUCUCAAACACUCAGAAUAACAGAACCAUGAGUCACGGAAGUCCGACUCAGCCUCACACAGAGGACAAGAGUCCUUUGGCUGCAAUUCCUGAUUUCCUAAUGCUGUUCUGUGAGGUUUUUGGAUGCCUGUUCCCUUUGUGAGAAUAGAUAAUCUGAAGCAGAAGAAAAAGGCCCUAUUGCUCUAUUUGGGCCACAGAGUGAGGGUCCCCAUCCUCUCCAAACUUGCCACACCCCAGCCUGAGGACGUCACUGGGGAAAGAAGAUCAAGGCCCAGCUGUGGACUCCAAACCUCUGAGCCCAGACCAGGGCUCACGAAAUGUGUCCUGACUGUCUGGCCAAGCAGCCAUUGGAUUAAUUUUACUGGAGUUUUCACAAGGUAGGCACAGCCCAGUAAGGAAAAGUCAAAGCAGGAGGUCUCUUUGGGCUAGGCCGGCCUGGGGCACGGUGGUCAGUGCAGACACAGGCUUCCCACUUGGCCUUGUUGCCAUUCACUCCCGCUUCUCCAGUGGCCAAUCAGUGCCUGUGUCACUGGGGCGGCUCAGCAGGAAGGCCUGGCCCCAUUCUGAGCCCCAAGGCCCAGGACUCUAGGCACGGGCUGCUCUAUGGGUGUGACCAUCUGCAACGAGGCACGACACAGACAGGAGACAAGGUCCUCAGUGUAGCAGCCAGCAGACUCAGCUGGGAGCUUCUAGACUCCCAGGCCUGGCUUCCACCCAAUUGGUGACAUUAAAACUGCUAGGGGGAACCCAUGCCUCAGGACUACAAAGCUCCCCAGAUGGUGCCAAGGUGCUACCAAAGUUGAGAACAGCAGGAAAAGGGGCCACCUAAGCUAGGACACCAACACAGACAAGAGGGGAAGUGAUUCCUCAGGGAGCCCACCAUGACCAGGGAAAACAGGAGGCGAACAGAGGAGCCACCCUGUGUGGCAGGCUACCUAUGACACCCCCGUCUACACCAGAGCCAGCCACUUGCAGGACGAAGGACUGGGAAAGGGAAUCCUCUUUCCCAGUCUGAUCACUCACAGGUGUCAGGCCAAGAAAACCACCAUGAAAGCAGCACUCUGGGGAACAUCGUGUCUCAGGUCCAAGCAGAGGUGGUGGGCCCCUGUAGUCCCAGCUACUCGGGAGGCUGAGGCAGGAGAAUGGCGUGAACCCGGGAGGCGGAGCUUGCAGUGAGCCGAGAUCGCACCACUGCACUCUAGCCUGGGGGACAGAGCAAGACUCCAUCUCAAAAAAAAAAAAAAAUUAUUCAAGACACUAGGGAAACACGCAGGGUGGGAACAGAAAACUGGCAGAUACAGAAGCCAGAGAAGAGGGACUGCAGGGACUGGGGGAGAGAACUGCCGAACCCUCACCAUGGCGAGGCGGGGAGACAGAGAGUCCCAGGGGCCCUCCCAGCAGAGCUGACCGAACCAAGCCAAACCUCAAUGCCUGAGGCCAAGUGGGAGGGAAGAAGGUUGUGUGGGAGGGAGGACGGAUGGUUAUAAAUCUGAUUUUCUGCCAACAAAAUGUAAUACGAGCUUAUGUAGGAAAUUUCAAAAGAUAUAAAGAAAAAAAAAGGACAUUCCUAAAGUAUUUCUUCCAGCCAUUUUUUCCCCCAAUGCAUCUAUACCCAUAUGGCCCUAGAAAAGGGGAGAGGGUCCCACAGCAAGAUGAAUUUUGUAUACUUUUUUUCCACUUCAAAUGCUCCAAUAUCCGUCCAUCUUUUAUAAUGGCCAUUACUACAAAUGAAUUUGUCUUUUCUGUUGUUGUUGUUAUAUUCUUAGGCUGGAAUUGUUAGGUCAAGAGACAAACAAACUGCUUUUUCAGAGAGUUUUUGUUUUGAGGUAUGUAAGUACAAACUUAUUUCGCUCUCUUCUUGUCAUCAUUGACUGUCGAC